rnacentral:rRNA from 1 species
UACGUAGGUGGCAAGCGUUGUCCGGAUUUAUUGGGCGUAAAGCGCGCGCAGGCGGCUCAGUAAGUCUGCAUUAAAAGUUCGGGGCUUAACCCCGGGAGGGGAUGGAAACUGCUGAUCUAGAGUUUCGGAGAGGAAAGUGGAAUUCCUAGUGUAGCGGUGAAAUGCGUAGAUAUUAGGAAGAACCCCAAUGGCGAAGGCGGCUGUCUGGACCAAAACUGACGCUGAGGCACGAAAGCGAGGGGAGCGAACGGG